CCUUUCUAAGGAUGAUCAAAAAUUGGGAAAUCCUCUCUUUUUGAUCUCAUUUAGACACGGGUUUAAACUUAUCCGUUUAAACCGUGCAUAUGACACUAACGCUCAACUCUAUACCCUCUCUCAAAAGAGAACCUCUUAACUAAAGAGGCCCUAAUCUCUUGAGGCCCCUACCUCCGAUGAGAUGGUGUUCAUGAGGGCUUAGUGAUCAUGUGUAAAAAUAACAGGCAGGCUUGCCGCCUUCGUUUCUCUUUCUUCAGAUGAUGAUCCCAAGCCUUCUGGCGAUCUCUUAAAAACAAACCUCAUUCUUUAAAAAAAGAGGGCUUUUUAAGAAAACACCCUUUAAGAAAAAGUUUUUUAUAAAAUUAAAGAAAAACUUUCUUGUAAGAGUGUAUUUUUUAUCUAAGAGUUUGCUCUUUUAUUUGAGAGUUUGCUUUUUUAAGAGUUUUCCGGGGAAGGUUUUCCGGUUUAUCCCGGAGGGCUUGUAGCUCAGUUGGUUAGAGCGCGCGCUUGAUAAGCGUGAGGUCGGAGGUUCAAGUCCUCCCAGGCCCACCAAUUUAGAAUUACCAAUUGGAAUUGCUUAACCCACUGUUGAGAAACUCCCUCCUUUAUGAGAGAAAUCUCUAAAAACAAGAGAAAACUCUUGAGAGCCUCAAAUGAUGGAUUUCAAAUUCUCAAUAAGAUUUAAACCCAUCAGAUCUAAAUCAAUAAGGUUUAAAAGUGUUGGUAAAAUGUUCAUAAUAUAUUUUAUAAAAAUAUUAAGAGUUAUGGAGAUAUUAAGAGAUUUUUCGGACACUAUUGAUAAAUCUUGGCAAGAAAAUUGAUAAAUAUCGGGAAAUUGAUAAAAAUCGGUUUAGGGGUUAGCGCUUUCGUUUAGGGGCCGUAGCUCAGCUGGGAGAGCACCUGCUUUGCAAGCAGGGGGUCGUCGGUUCGAUCCCGUCCGGCUCCACCACUUUAGGUCAUCAUCAUUGUUGUGAGAACCGUCUUUAGUG
rnacentral:tRNA from 1 species